rnacentral:rRNA from 1 species
UACGGAGGUCUCAAGCGUUGUUCGGAUUCAUUGGGCGUAAAGGGUGCGUAGGUGGCGUCGUAAGUCAGGUGUGAAAUCUCGGAGCUUAACUCCGAAACUGCAUUUGAUACUGCGGUGCUUGAGGACUGGAGAGGAGACUGGAAUUUACGGUGUAGCAGUGAAAUGCGUAGAGAUCGUAAGGAAGACCAGUGGCGAAGGCGGUUGCCUGGAGCUUUGCUGACGCUGAUGCGCGAAAGCGUGGGGAGCGAUCCGG